UGGGGAAUAUUGCACAAUGGGGGAAACCCUGAUGCAGCGACGCCGCGUGAGUGAAGAAGUAUUUCGGUAUGUAAAGCUCUAUCAGCAGGGAAGAAAAUGACGGUACCUGACUAAGAAGCCCCGGCUAACUACGUGCCAGCAGCCGCGGUAAUACGUAGGGGGCAAGCGUUAUCCGGAUUUACUGGGUGUAAAGGGAGCGUAGACGGAUCGGCAAGUCUGAUGUGAAAGGCCGGGGCUCAACCCCGGGACUGCAUUGGAAACUGUUGAUCUUGAGUGCCGGAGGGGUAAGUGGAAUUCCUAGUGUAGCGGUGAAAUGCGUAGAUAUUAGGAGGAACACCAGUGGCGAAGGCGGCUUACUGGACGGUAACUGACGUUGAGGCUCGAAAGCGUGGGGAGCAAACAGGAUUAGAUACC
rnacentral:rRNA from 1 species